UUUUGUUCAUCUCACGGGAGAGAAUAGUAUUGAGGUGUUACACCUUCCCGACCUUUCACCUCUCUCCUCAUCCACCAUGAAACCCUAACAUUCACUGCCCUUUCAAUUCUCAGAUGUAACUGAUGCCUUCCAUCACCAUGUUUCAUCAAAGCUUUUCAUUACUGUAACAAUCAAAACACAUUCCGUCUCUUCAAUUCCCCUCCUUUCUCCUAUAUAUAUUUCAGAGGCUUCUCCCUCUUGACCCACACCCAAAUGAGAAGCUGAAAAAACCCAGAUGAUUGCAUGGCAAAGAAUUCCCAGAUCCUCCGCAACGGCACAUUCAUCAACGGCUCCGAUUAUUCUCUUUCUCAACGACAUUCUUCCCCUAAUUGGUCUUGAGAUGAUGUUGAUGAGAAGAGGAAGAGAGGAGCUGAUGAUGCUGAUUCAUAGAAAAAACCGAUCUGCUUCUGCUUCUGCUUCUGCGCUCUAAGCUUAUCUCUCAGCUGUUUUGAUAGCUCAAGUCCACAAUUGGAGUUUUGUUUGGAUUUUCAGUGGAGUUUACACAAUUAGUUUCUUUCUCUGAAGGUUGUGGUCACUGUAUCAGAAACAAAUCCUCUAAUCAUAUACCUCAUGAACGUUGAGAAGCUUCUCGAGUCAGAAAGAUUCUACAAUUUGUUCCAGAUUCUAAUGAACAAGAUCUCUGGUCCUGUCUUGAUUCUUGGCUCAAGGGUAUUAGUACCUGAAGAUGAUUUCCAAGAAGUAGAUGAAGAGGUCUCCGCUCUCUUUCCUUACAACAUCGAAAUCAGACCACAUGAGGAUGAAUCCCAGCUUUCGAGCUGGAAGAAUCGCUUAGAAGAUGACAUGAAGAUGGUUCAGUUUCAAGACAACAAGAACCAAAGUAUCCCUCGUGAACCUCAAUAUCAUUGCAUCUUUGCAGGGAUAUAAGCGUGUGCGUUAGCAUGUUUGACGCCUUAGCUCUUGCAUGCCAUAACAAAUACGAAAGCUACAGGUCUGAGCCAAAAAUUGUGGUGGCCACCAGCAUAAAUCCGACACUAUUGAUCGCAUCAAGAAACGUGUUCAGGAGAGAGAAUGCAUCACUCAUGUUCAACAAAGGUCGUUGGAGUUGUUUCCGGUUAACUCUUACUGCAAAACAUCUUUUCAUAUCUUGGUGACUUAGAAAAUUGCAUCUCCUUCCUAAUGUGUUUUUUUUUUGUGUUUGUGCCAUCAAUUAGUUGAUUAUACUCUGUUUGCAAGCUUAUAAUCUAUGCAGUUACAUGUAACAUUGAUUCUUAGAGUUUUUUUUUUUUUUUGCAGGCUCAACUACGCCCGUAAAAAGCUAGCUGAUGACAAGACGACAAAAGACUACAACAUAGAGGGAGGCUCUGUUCUGCAUCUUGUUCUUGCUCUUAGUGGUGGUGUUGAUGUUCUGUGGGUAGUAACUCAUUCUCUUAUCUAUGUCUAGGGAUUCUUUUCUUUCUAUGAUUAAAAAGUGAUGCGAUUUGGAUU